AUACGGAGGGGGCUAGCGUUGUUCGGAAUUACUGGGCGUAAAGCGCACGUAGGCGGAUUAAAAAGUUGGGGGUGAAAUCCCGGGGCUCAACCCCGGAACUGCCUCCAAAACUUCCAAUCUUGAGAUCGAGAGAGGUGAGUGGAAUUCCAAGUGUAGAGGUGAAAUUCGUAGAUAUUUGGAGGAACACCAGUGGCGAAGGCGGCUCACUGGCUCGAUACUGACGCUGAGGUACGAAAGCGUGGGGAGCAAACAGGAUUAGAUACCCCAGUAGUCC
rnacentral:rRNA from 1 species